rnacentral:tRNA from 1 species
GCCGCUUUAGCUCACCCGGUAGAGCACAUCAUUCGUAAUGAUGGGGUCAGGUGUUCGAGUCACCUAAGCGGCACCA